UCUCAGGGCGGAGUGAAAUUCUCCACCGGUGGUAAAAGCCCACGAGCCCAAAAGGGCAGAUUUGGUGUAAUUCCAAAGCCGACGGUAUAGUCCGGAUGAAAGAGAAU
rnacentral:ncRNA from 1 species